rnacentral:rRNA from 1 species
AUUGAACGCUGGCGGCAUGCCUUACACAUGCAAGUCGAACGGCAGCACGGGGGCAACCCUGGUGGCGAGUGGCGAACGGGUGAGUAACAUAUCGGAACGUGCCCUGGAGUGGGGGAUAACUAGUCGAAAGAUUAGCUAAUACCGCAUACGAUCUACGGAUGAAAGUGGGGAUCGCAAGACCUCAUGCUCGUGGAGCGGCCGAUAUCUGAUUAGCAGUUGGUGGGGUAAAGGCCUACCAAGGCAUCGAUCAGUAGCUGGUCUGAGAGGACGACCAGCCACACUGGGACUGAGACACGGCCCAGACUCCUACGGGAGGCAGCAGUGGGGAAUUUUGGACAAUGGGCGCAAGCCUGAUCCAGCAAUGCCGCGUGAGUGAAGAAGGCCU